CUGGAACCCACGUCGACCAGGCUCGCCGGCAUCUACUCCUUCUUGUCCUUCAAGGUCACCGCCUCCGAGAAGCCCUCCCGGAUCACGCCUCCCAACCUGACCCCAGCCCCUUACCGUUUACUGUUAGGGAACAAAGUCAUGUCUCGGGUGCAACUCCCCAAGCAGCCUAAGGUGUGGCAGAGAUGCUGACCACGUCAAGGCGUGUGGAGGACGCAACAGCCAGAUUGUGACUUUCCUUGGGGCAGUGAGUGACUCAGAUCCGGCCUCCACGCGUGGCCACCAUUCCUGUGGCACCUGCUCAGCUUCAGGGUGUGAAGAGGUCAACAGGUUGGCGUCCAAGUCCGGCUCUACUUCCCCUCCUUUUGGGAAAUGGAAGAGGAGUGUUGUCUGGGAGGGGGGUGGGAGUGGGGAGGCCCUUCAUGACGUGCGGUCAUCUCACAAGUGUUUGCUAAGCACCUACUGACCGUCUGGUCCAGUCACAAAUGCACUAACCAGAUAUUCAGCAUAAUAGCAAUGCUCAUAAGCAAAAAAGACCAAAGUUAUUUGUAUUUUGCAUUUAAAGUUUGUCUCCCUAAUGGCAAAAUUCCAUGCAUGGGAUUAUCAAGUUAGAUGGUGGAAUACACGGGUUUCCAGGCGCUUUCUGAAUAGGCUGAAGCCAUUUACACUCCCAUCCGCCCAUCCCAUUCCUUCCUUCCCCAAACAAGUCUUGAUCUGUUGUUACAAUUAAUUUUUUUUGUUAAAAUCAAUUUUUUAAAAAUUCAGGUGAGAUUCGCGUAACAUAAAAGUAACCAUUUCAAAGCGAA